ACACGUAGGGGGCGAGCGUUGUCCGGAAUCACUGGGCGUAAAGGGCGUGUAGGCGGCUGAUAAAGUCAGGUGUGAAAUGCCUCGGCUCAACCGAGGACUAGCACAUGAAACUAAUUAGCUUGAGUGCAGGAGAGGGGAGCGGAAUUCCCGGUGUAGCGGUGAAAUGCGUAGAUAUCGGGAAGAACACCGGUGGCGAAGGCGGUUCUCUGGACUGUAACUGACGCUGAGGCGCGAAAGCUGGGGUAGCGAACGGGAUUAGAUACCCCGGUAGUCCCAGCCGUAAACUAUGGGUACUAGGUGUUGGCAGUCGACCUGUCAGUGCCGUAGCAAACGCAUUAAGUAUCCCGCCUGGGGAGUACGGCCGCAAGGCUGAA
rnacentral:rRNA from 1 species